rnacentral:rRNA from 1 species
UUCCUACGGGGGGCAGCAGUGAGGAAUAUUGGUCAAUGGGCGCGAGCCUGAACCAGCCAAGUAGCGUGAAGGAUGACUGCCCUACGGGUUGUAAACUUCUUUUAUAAAGGAAUAAAGUGAGGCACGUGUGCCUUUUUGUAUGUACUUUAUGAAUAAGGAUCGGCUAACUCCGUGCCAGCAGCCGCGGUAAUACGGAGGAUGCGAGCGUUAUCCGGAUUUAUUGGGUUUAAAGGGUGCGUAGGUGGUUAAUUAAGUCAGCGGUGAAAGUUUGUGGCUCAACCAUAAAAUUGCCGUUGAAACUGGUU